rnacentral:rRNA from 1 species
UGGUGGAGCGAUUUGUCUGGUCAAUUCCGAUAACGAACGAGACUCUAGCCUACUAAAUAGUUCGGGGACCCCCACAGAGGGGCCCCGCUUCAACUUCUUAGAGGGACAGGUGGCGUUUAGCCACACGAGAUUGAGCAAUAACA